rnacentral:rRNA from 1 species
GACGAACGCUGGCGGCGUGCCUAAUACAUGCAGGUCGAGCGAAUCUUUGGGAGCUUGCUCCCAAAGAUUAGCGGCGGACGGGUGAGUAACACGUGGGCAACCUGCCUAUGAGACUGGGAUAACUCCGGGAAACCGGGGCUAAUACCGGAUAAUUCCUUUCUACACAUGUAGAAAAGUUGAAAGAUGGUUUCGGCUAUCACUCAUAGAUGGGCCCGCGGCGCAUUAGCUAGUUGGUGAGGUAACGGCUCACCAAGGCGACGAUGCGUAGCCGACCUGAGAGGGUGGGCGGCCACACUGGGACUGAGACACGGCCCAGACUCCUACGGGAGGCAGAAGUAGGGAAUCUUCCGCAAUGGACGAAAGUCUGACGGAGCAACGCCGCGUGAGUGAUGAAGGUUUUCGGAUCGUAAAACUCUGUUGUUAGGGAAGAACAAGUACCGGAGUAACUGCCGGUACCUUGACGGUACCUAACCAGAAAGCCACGGCUAACUACGUGCCAGCAGCCGCCGUAACAC